GUCGAAGGAACUUGGCAAAAUGACCCCGUAACUUCGGGAGAAGGGGUGCUCUCCUAUCUUUUGAUUAGGAAAGCGGCACAUACCAGGGGGUAGCGACUAUUUAUUAAAAACACAGGACUCUGCUAAGUGGUAACACGAUGUAUAGAGUCUGACACCUGCCCGGUGCUGGAAGGUCAGAAGGAGAAGUGUGAUAAGCUUUGAAUGGAAGCCCCGGUAAACGGCGGCAGUAACUCUAAUUGUCCUAAGGUAGCGACUAGACCGACUCCUGCCUGCAUCUACUACUAUUACUACACUCAUCGAC
rnacentral:rRNA from 1 species